CACGUAGGGUGCGAGCGUUGUCCGGAAUUAUUGGGCGUAAAGAGCUCGUAGGCGGCUUGUCGCGUCGUUCGUGAAAACCUGCAGCUCAACUGCAGGCUUGCGGUCGAUACGGGCAGGCUAGAGUUCGGUAGGGGAGACUGGAAUUCCUGGUGUAGCGGUGAAAUGCGCAGAUAUCAGGAGGAACACCGGUGGCGAAGGCGGGUCUCUGGGCCG
rnacentral:rRNA from 1 species